rnacentral:rRNA from 1 species
GCCACAGAUGUAAAGGCAGUGAUGUCAAAGUCGAGUGGUACUAAUUACCCAUAAGCUUAUGAAU